rnacentral:rRNA from 1 species
AACGCGAAGAACCUUACCAGUCCUUGACAUGUCCACUAUGGGUUUGAGAGAUCAGAUCCUUCACUUCGGGUGGGUGGAACACAGGUGCUGCAUGGCUGUCGUCAGCUCGUGUCGUGAGAUGUUGGGUUAAGUCCCGCAACGAGCGCAACCCUCAUCUUCAGUUGCCCACGGGUCAGGCCGGGCACUCUGAAGAAACCGCCGGUGACAAGCCGGAGGAAGGCGGGGAUGACGUCAAGUCCUCAUGGCCCUUACGGACUGGGCUACACACGUACUACAAUGGUGGUGACAAUGGGCAGCGAAAGCGCAAGCUGGAGCCAAUCCCCAAAAACCAUCUCAGUUCAGAUUGCACUCUGCAACUCGAGUGCAUGAAGUUGGAAUCGCUAGUAAUCGCAGAUCAGCACGCUGCGGUGAAUACGUUCCCGGGCCUUGUA